UACGUAGGGGGGCAAGCGUUGUCCGGAAUCAUUGGGCGUAAAGAGCGUGUAGGCGGCCCGGUAAGUCGGCUGUGAAAGUCCAGGGCUCAACCCUGGGAUGCCGGUCGAUACUGCCGGACUAGAGUUCGGAAGAGGCGAGUGGAAUUCCCCGGUGUAGCGGUGAAAUGCGCAGAUAUCGGGAGGAACACCUAUGGCGAAGGCAGCUCGCUGGGACGUUACUGACGCUGAGACGCGAAAGCGUGGGGAGCAAACAGG
rnacentral:rRNA from 1 species